rnacentral:lncRNA from 1 species
CCCCCGGUCUGGGAGGGGAGGAGGGGCUCUGUGGGGCCGGGCGCGCAGUUCAAAGGGGGACGAGACUGGGCCGGGGGGCGCUCAGCGCUGCCUGCCCCGCAAACGCGAGGUCCUGCGUUGGAACGCCGGUGCCGGUGCCAGAGAAAGAGAGGAGGAGCAGAGCGAGCGGGACCAGAAGGCUGCGGAGCGGCGCACUGGGGGGCUGUCCGCGUCUCCACGGCUGUGGCCCGGAGUUUUCGCGGGGAAUGUUGGCUCGACCCUAGAAACCACCCGGAAGGCCCCGCGCUUAGGUCCUCAGACUCCGCACCCAGGACUUGCGAGGUUUUCCUCUCUCCGCGCUUGUCCACCUGUCCGGAAAGUCCCCUCACUUCCUCUGCGUGCUCUUCAUUUCUAGGCGUGAGAAUUCCACUUGUGGGAAGGGCGUUUUGAGCUUUUUUCUAUAUUUUUUUCAAUGAAGUUGCUCUUUAAAAAAAUAUCACCUCUGACCCAGGCGUGGGGGCGCACACCUGUCAUCCUGGCACUCGGGAGGCUGAGGCAGGAGGAUCCCUGGGAGUUCCAGACCAGCCUGGGCUGCGUGGUGAGAUUGUCUGAAAGGAACAAUUUUCCCCCUAAAAUGUCCACGCACCCUGCUUCUCCCGCUCCUGUUUAGGGUCACAGUGUCCGAACCUGACCUGGCUUUUCGUCCACAACUGUGCUUCUCCCUUGGGCGACAGAAGAGAUUCACCGUGACCUUGCGCUGGACGAAGACACGUAUUUCUGCUCCUUCCCCAACUCGGUCCUGCACCGCGGGGCCGUCUUCGAGGUCCACGCCGCCAUGGGCAACGCCACCUUCCAGGAGACCCUGCGCUUCGACAACCCAGGUGACAUGGGGCCCGGGGGGCCAGGGGCCAGGAUCUGGCCCCGUGCCGCGCCGCUGAGGCCCUGGUCGCUGCAUCCCAGGCAGGCCCCGGGGCCGGCGCCGCCAACCUGUCCUGCAUCAUCUAUGACGUGCACGCCAUGAACUGCAGCUGGGCGCCGGGCCAAACAGCCCCCGUGGACACCGUCUACCAGCUGUUCUGGUUCGACCCGUGAGUGGGCACCGUGGGGCGGGAUGGGGUGGCCCAGGCCGGACAAGUGGGGUGGACAGGGGGCUGCCAUCUCGGGUCCCUGGGUGGACAGGAAAUAAAGGGGUGCGGAUUGGAGACAAUUCACCCAAGACGUGGAGUCCACUGCUGUGUCCAUUAACAGAGGAACGGGUAAAGAGAAUGCGAUGGAAUACUAUACAGCCACAAACAGGGAAGGGGUUCAGGGCUGUGCAACAACACGGCAGGAAGCGGAGCUUGUGGUGCUCAGGGCCAUAAGCCAGGUGUGGGAGAUGAGUACUGAGCGGUGCUGGUCACAGGCGGAGGCCAAAAAUGUGGAAGCCAGAAGCCGAGAAGAAAGUGGAGGUGACCAGGGACCGGGGAGGUGGGGAUGCAGCGAGAGGAAUCUGAGAGGAAGUCACCGCUCGGCAGGAGCAGG